rnacentral:sRNA from 1 species
UCUCCGUUGGUGAACCAGCGGAGGGAUCAUUACCGAAGUUACCCUUCAAAACCCAUUGUGAACCUUACCUCUUGCCGCGCGGUUGCCUCGGCGGGGAGGCGGGGGUUGGGUCGGCGCGCCCCACAGCGGCCCGUCGUCCCCGCCCCCGUCCCCGCCGGCCGCGCCAAACUCUAAAUUUGCAAAGCGGACUGCAUGUUCUGAUUUAAAAGAAAAAACAAGUCAAAACUUUCAACAACGGAUCUCUUGGUUCUGGCAUCGAUGAAGAACGCAGCGAAAAUGCGAUAAGUAAUGUGAAUUGCAGAAUUCAGUGAAUCAUCGAAUCUUUGAACGCACAUUGCGCCCGGCAGCAAUCUGCCGGGCAUGCCUGUCCGAGCGUCAUUUCUCCCCUCGAGCGCGGCUAGCCCUACGGGGCCUGCCGCCGCCCGGUGUUGGGGCUCUACGGGUGGGGCUCGUCCCCCCCCGCAGUCCCCGAAAUGUAGUGGCGGUCCAGCCGCGGCGCCCCCCUGCGUAGUAGAUCCUACAUCUCGCAUCGGGUCCCGGCGAAGGCCAGCCGUCGAACCUUUUUUACUCAUGGUUUGACCUCGGAUCAGGUAGGGUUACCCGCUGAACUUAAGCAUAUCAAUAAGCGGAGGAAAAGAAACCAACAGGGAUUGCCCCAGUAACGGCGAGUGAAGCGGCAACAGCUCAAAUUUGAAAUCUGGUCCCCUUUGGGGGCCCGAGUUGUAAUUUGAAGAGGAUGCUUUUGGCGAGGCGCCGUCCGAGUUCCCUGGAACGGGACGCCGCAGAGGGUGAGAGCCCCGUACGGUCGGACGCCGAGCCUCUGUAAAGCUCCUUCGACGAGUCGAGUAGUUUGGGAAUGCUGCUCAAAAUGGGAGGUAAACCCCUUCUAAAGCUAAAUACCGGCCAGAGACCGAUAGCGCACAAGUAGAGUGAUCGAAAGAUGAAAAGCACUUUGAAAAGAGAGUUAAAAAGCACGUGAAAUUGUUGAAAGGGAAGCGCUUGCGACCAGACUUGCGCCCGUCGGAUCAACCGUCGCUUGCGGCGGCGCACUCCGGCGGGCUCAGGCCAGCAUCAGUUCGCUCGGGGGGAGAAAGGCGGCGGGAAUGUGGCUCCUCGGAGUGUUAUAGCCCGCCGUGUAAUACCCUCGGGUGGACUGAGGACCGCGCGUAUGCAAGGAUGCUGGCGUAAUGGUCGUCAGCGAC